GAUGAACGCUAGCUACAGGCUUAACACAUGCAAGUCGAGGGACCGGCGCACGGGAGAGUAACACGAAUCCACCCCGCUCUUUACUCGGGGAUAGCCUUUCGAAAGAAAGAUUAAUACCCGAUGUAAAGGAUGGGGCUGCGUUCCAUUAGUUUGUUGUUGAGGUAACGGCUCACCAAGCCUUAGAUGGAUAGGGGUUCUGAGAGGAAAGUCCCCGAGAUUGGAACAGGGCCACGGUGCAAACGCCUACCAGAGGCGGCAGUGAUGAAUAUUGGGCAAAGUGCGUUACGCUGAAACAGCCAGAUAGGGUUGAGGAUGAAGGCUUAUGGGUCGUUGACUUCUUUGAUAUAAGACUAUGGAUUAUAUGAAUAAGGAUCGGCUAACUCCGUGCCAGCAGCCGCGGUAAUAC
rnacentral:rRNA from 1 species